AUCCCGGUGGCGGAAUGGCAGACGCGACAGACUUAAAAUCUGUUCCUUUUAAGGGUAUGGGUUCAAGUCCCAUCCGGGAUACCA
rnacentral:tRNA from 1 species